AACAUGGAGAGUUUGAUCCUGGCUCAGGAUGAACGCUGGCGGUAUGCCUAACACAUGCAAGUCGAACGGUCUUGAAAGA
rfam:Gloeocapsa sp. PCC 73106 scaffold_00067, whole genome shotgun sequence.